rnacentral:rRNA from 1 species
GUGGGGAAUAUUGGACAAUGGGCGCAAGCCUGAUCCAGCCAUGCCGCGUGAGUGAUGAAGGCCUUAGGGUUGUAAAGCUCUUUUGUCCGGGAAGAUAAUGACUGUACCGGAAGAAUAAGCCCCGGCUAACUUCGUGCCAGCAGCCGCGGUAAUACGAAGGGGGCUAGCGUUGCUCGGAAUCACUGGGCGUAAAGGGCGCGUAGGCGGCCUCUUAAGUCGGGGGUGAAAGCCCAGGGCUCAACACUGGAAUAGCCUUCGAUACUGAGAGUCUUGAGUUCGGAAGAGGUUGGUGGAAUUGCGAGUGUAGAGGUGAAAUUCGUAGAUAUUCGCAAGAACACCAGUGGCGAAGGCGGCCAACUGGUCCGAUACUGACGCUGAGGCGCGAAAGCGUGGGGAGCAAACAGGAUUAGAUACCCUUGUAGUCC